GAGUUUGAUUAUGGCUCAGGAUGAACGCUGGCGGCGUGCUUAACACAUGCAAGUCGAACGGGCGAAUUAUAUCGGAGGUCUUCGGGCCGAAGAGAUCAUAAGCUAGUGGCGGACGGGUGCGUAACGUGUGGGUAAUCUGCCUUUGUCAUAGGAAUAACUGCUUGAAAAAGUAGCUAAUACCAAAUAACAUAUCGUAUAGGCAUCUAUAGGAUAUCAAAGAGAAAUCGGACAAAGAUGAGCCCGCAUCUGAUUAGCUGGUUGGUAGGGUAAAAGCCUACCAAGGCGACGAUCAGUAGCCGGCCUGAGAGGGUGAACGGCCACAUUGGAACUGAGACACGGUCCAAACUCCUACGGGAGGCAGCAGUGGGGAAUAUUGCACAAUGGGGGGAACCCUGAUGCAGCAACGCCGCGUGAGUGAAGAAGGCUUUCGAGUCGUAAAACUCUGUUGUAAGGGAAGAUAAUGACG
rnacentral:rRNA from 1 species